GAUGAAGAACGUAGCGAAAUGCGAUAAGUAAUGUGAAUUGCAGAAUUCAGUGAAUCAUCGAAUCUUUGAACGCACAUUGCGCCCCCUGGUAUUCCGGGGGGCAUGCCUGUUCGAGCGUCAUUGCUGCCCUCAAGCACGGCUUGUGUGUUGGGCCUCCGUCCUCCUCCCGGGGGACGGGCCCGAAAGGCAGCGGCGGCACCGCGUCCGGUCCUCGAGCGUAUGGGGCUUCGUCACCCGCUCUUGUAGGCCCGGCCGGCGCUUGCCGACACAUCAAUCUUUUUUCCAGGUUGACCUCGGAUCAGGUAGGGAUACCCGCUGAACUUAAGCAUAUCAAUAAGCGGAGGA
rnacentral:misc_RNA from 1 species